rnacentral:tRNA from 1 species
GGUGGCUCAGUGGUAGAGCACGUGUCUUGCAUGCAUGAGGCCCUGGGUUCGAUUCCUCAGUACCA